rnacentral:sRNA from 1 species
AGAGGAUGAUGUUGAAGCGAGCUCGGAAGCCCCGAGAAAGGGCCUGGCUUAUAUCCAUGUUAUGAAAGCGCUUGUUCCACCCCGCGUAUGGUUUGAUGAGAGAUGCGAAAACGGGGAUAUGCGCCGGCGGGACGCCACUUGAUCCUGCUCUGUGGGGAAAAUCCGAUCAAGGGCCGUCCUUGUUGCCCAAACACCCUAACGCUUGCCCACGAUACCAGCGAAGGAAAGCUAAUAGCCCUCCUGUGGCGUCCAUGAUCUUUUAACCCUUGUCCAAAUGACUGGCGGAAAACCUAGUAGCUAGCUCGGUAUUAGUCCAAGAAGCAUUGCAAAGCAACGGCCAAAUAUUGAAACUGUUGGACAUCUGAGUGGUUGGCAGAGGCAUACUGCAUAUACGUGCGAUGCGCUAAUGGAGCCAGCAGAAACGUUGCAAAAAUUACGGAGUACUGGGACCGAAUUGUCGGGUCCGAUACAAGUUUGUCUCCAACGGGUUGGGUUCUAAUGGCUCACGGUGUUAAAAUUGAUCUGCCGGCUUGAUCUUCAUGUCCACAGUACUACUCCGUAUGCAAGUACUGAUUGACCUGGUUUCUUCAGAACCUUCACAAGAAAGCAUAACUUUUCUUAUUCCUACUUAUCUCAACUAACUUACAAGUUACGCAAGCAGAGUUGAACUAGUUAACCAUGA